rnacentral:rRNA from 1 species
UACGGAGGGUGCGAACGUUAAUCGGAAUCACUGGGCGUAAAGCGCGCGUAGGCGGUUUGUUAAGUGGGAUGUGAAAUCCCCGGGCUUAACCUGGGAAUUGCAUUUCAAACUGGCCGACUAGAGUACGGUAGAGGGAGGUAGAAUUUCCUGUGUAGCGGUGAAAUGCGUAGAUAUCUGGAGGAACACCGGUGGCGAAGGCGGCAUCCUGGACCGGUAUUGACGCUGAGGCGCGAAAGCCAGGGGAGCAAACGGG